rnacentral:lncRNA from 1 species
GUUUAAGAGUUUUAUAGUAAUAUUAAUGUUUUAAGUGUAAUAAUGGCUAGUUUUUCGGCUGUCGAUUAUGGUACCGUGAAUUUUGAAGAUGGCAACACUGUGGAGAAAAUUAUCGAUGAUUUGAAUCAAUGUUUCGAGGAUUGUCGGGCCCAGGCUGUCCAGAAUCUUAAUGUGAGCAAGAAUAUGAAGGGAGAUCUUCGUAAGGGAACCCUUGCAUGUCUGGAGGAGAUGCAGGAAUGUUUUACUAAAUUAAGAAUCUAGAGUCGUCCGAGUGUUGUCAGUCUGACCUGGUGCAUCUUUCCAGUGCUGUCUAAUUGACCAAGAAUUUGUGGAUUUACCUUUCAAAACUGGAUUCCGUCAUUAGUUUUUAAUUUUAAGCUUUUCUGAAUUUUUGGUAGCCCACUUAAACUUUCCAUAGACUUAACAUAGGAGUUUUCUUCUUACGUUUGGGAAUUUUUUCGGUUAAAUUACGUGUUAAAACUUAAGUUACUCGACGGUUCUACUUAGUCCUUAUCGUAAGAUAUCCAGUAGUAUUUUUAUUUUUUCUAUAGGACCCAUAGUUCGUAAGAUAUAGCGAUUCUAGUUUCAGCCAAUCAGGCAAAUUUUCUUGUGUGCUACCUUCUUUCAGAUAUUCUGUUACCGGUUUUUUAGUAACAGCUUAC